CGUUUUGUUUGCCAUUCAGCAGGGAAUGAAGUGUUGCCGAAUGGCAGGCUAAACAU
rnacentral:pre_miRNA from 1 species